rnacentral:rRNA from 1 species
AGUAACACGUGGGUAACCUGCCCAUCAGAGGGGGAUAACACUUGGAAACAGGUGCUAAUACCGCAUAAUAGUCGACACCGCAUGGUGUUGAUUUGAAAGACGCUUUCGGGUGUCACUGAUGGAUGGACCCGCGGUGCAUUAGCUAGUUGGUGAGGUAACGGCUCACCAAGGCGAUGAUGCAUAGCCGACCUGAGAGGGUGAUCGGCCACACUGGGACUGAGACACGGCCCAGACUCCUACGGGAGGCAGCAGUAGGGAAUCUUCGGCAAUGGACGAAAGUCUGACCGAGCAACGCCGCGUGAGUGAAGAAGGUUUUCGGAUCGUAAAACUCUGUUGUUAGAGAAGAAUAAGUAGGAGAGUAACUGCUCUUACCUUGACGGUAUCUAACCAGAAAGCCACGGCUAACUACGUGCCAGCAGCCGCGGUAAUACGUAGGUGGCAAGCGUUGUCC